rnacentral:misc_RNA from 1 species
GUUCUUAAUUCCUGAACAAUUUUUUAAGUCUCAUCCAUGGUAGUGCUUAGUUUAAUGUUCUCAGCUUUCCCAACUGACAUCAUGCACAUGAUUCUCAUUCCAAAGUCCACAACCAAACAAAUAGCUAUCUUUAGAAGAACAGAAUCCACACUUGGCAGGCGCAUUCUAAGCUGUCCUCCUCUUCUUCAAGCAAACACCAAAUCGCCUUGCAGUCUUCUCGGAACCACUAGAGCUUUAUCAGCAUUGUCAUUUUCUGCAUCAAAUAUCAAUCGGCGGCCAGUGAUCGCCGACUUCUUCGUCAAAAUCCUAGUUUCUUGCCAAGAGAGUGAAGGGAAGAGCUGCGGCUGCUAAACUUGGUUUAAUUUUACCCUUCUCACUCGCAUGGUUCCCUUCCCGCUUGUUUCCAUGUUUUAAUUAAUUUUUCUAAUAGAAAAAUACUCUCACACACGAUACCAUGCAUCUCUAUUCAACUUAUCUUCCUUCUUCUUCGAUUCUAGGACCCCCCAUCCUCUGUUAUGAAAUAAUUCAUCAAGGCAAAGCAAUCAAUCUCAGACUCAGCCAUUCAAGAUCGAGAGGUGUAGUUGAUCUCA